GACGGAGGAUGCAAGUGUUAUCCGGAAUCACUGGGCGUAAAGCGUCUGUAGGUCGUUUAAAAAGUCUACUGUUAAAACUUGAAGCUUAACUUCAAAGAUGCCGUAGAAACUUUUAAACUUGAGUAUGGUAGGGGUAGAGGGAAUUUCCAGUGGAGCGGUGAAAUGCGUAGAUAUUGGAAAGACCACCAAUGGCGAAGGCACUCUACUGGGCCAUUACUGACACUGAGAGACGAAAGCUAGGGGAGCAAAUGGG
rnacentral:rRNA from 1 species